rnacentral:lncRNA from 1 species
UUCUCUCUCCUAAAAAAAAGUUGUGUGUGUGUGCUUUGUGUGUACAUGCAAUCGGCCAGCAAAGGUGAAAAGAAGAAGAAGAAGAAAUGUGAUCAAACUCCAAAUUGGAACUAGAUUCCUUCCAUAAUCCAUCUUUUCAUCGUCUCUUGGUGAUUUAAAAUCCAAACUUCAACAUCUGAUGGUUUGGCAUACUAGAAUUCGAUUGUAGAUUAUAAACCAGUCGAUGGGACUGCUGAACACAUAAUGUAAGUUUCUUGACCAUUCCUCUCGUUAAGAACAAUUACAUGGUUAUGCUAUUUACUAACUAAUUUGUUUGAUCAUACCGGGAAUGAAUGAGUUUUUGUAGUACAACCUUGUUAUCUUGGAUUGUAUACUUAGAUUUGUUAUUUCAAUCUGCAGUGCAACCUAACAAUGACGAGGUAAACACCUUGAUGGUUGAUCUACUAUGAAUUCUUGGAUAGAAAGACGAAGGCAACCUUAGUAAACUAGCACUGGUGUUUAUCUAGUCAACUUUCAUUGAAGUUUGUUUGUGCCAACUUCUAUAAACCCCACCCACAAUGAUUUUUGUAUAUAUAGUUAAACAUGUAAAUGAUCUAGGUUUUGCUUCCGCUGAAGUAGUUUAAUGUGUU